UGGGGAAUAUUGGGCAAUGGGCGCAAGCCUGACCCAGCAACGCCGCGUGAAGGAAGAAGGCUUUCGGGUUGUAAACUUCUUUUAUCAGGGACGAAGCAAGUGACGGUACCUGAUGAAUAAGCCACGGCUAACUACGUGCCAGCAGCCGCGGUAAUACGUAGGUGGCGAGCGUUAUCCGGAUUUACUGGGUGUAAAGGGCGUGUAGGCGGGCUUGCAAGUCAGAUGUGAAAUUUCCAGGGCUCAACCCCCGGAACUGCAUUUGAAAUCUGUAGGUCUUGAGUGCUGGAGAGGCAAUCGGAAUUCCGUGUGUAGCGGUGAAAUGCGUAGAUAUACGGAGGAACACCAGUGGCGAAGGCGGAUUGCUGGACAGUAACUGACGCUGAGGCGCGAAAGCGUGGGGAGCAAACAGGAUUAGAUACC
rnacentral:rRNA from 1 species